GGUUAAUAUUCCAGUACUCGUAUUAUGGGUGAAGCGAAGACGAAGGAGCAAAAUCGUUUGCCCGCUGACGGAAUAGCGGGUAAAAGGGUGGAAAUAGACGGUGAGUGAAGUACCACUGUUGAUUGGAAGCCCGACCGAACAAGGAAGCCAUUAGGUGGAAUUGCUAAUGACGAUAUGCCGACUUCCAAGAAAAGUCGCUAAACGAUAACUAUGAUACGACCCGUACCGUAAACCGACACAGGUGGUCGAGGAGAGAAUCCUAAGGCGCUCGAGUGAUUCAUGGCUAAGGAACUCGGCAAAUUAGACGCGUAACUUCGGGAGAAGCGUCGCCUCGCGAGAGGUCGCAGUGAAGAGGCCCAAGCGACUGUUUAACAAAAACACAGGACUCUGCAAAGUAUAAUUACUAAGUAUAGGGUCUGACACCUGCCCGGUGCUGUAAGAUAAAAAGGAGAAAUAAUUUUAUUUGAUAAAUUUAUGAAUAAGUUUUAUAAAUUUAAAAAAUAAUAUUAUAAAGUACUACCUUUAUAAAUUAUUUUUAAUUUAUAAUUAUAUUAGUGUUACAAUUAAUAUAAUUAUAAAUUUCAAUAUUAAAAGUUUUGAAUAUAAAUCCCAGUAAACGGCGGCUGUAACCAUAACGGUCCUAAGGUAGCGAAAUUCCUUGUCGGGUAAGUUCCGACCUGCAUGAAUGGUGUAACGACUUCCUCACUGUCUCUAAUAUUGUCUCAGUGAAAUUGAAAUCUCUGUGAAGAUGCAGAGUAUUGACGGCUAGACGGAAAGACCCUGUGCACCUUUACUAUAAUCAUUAAUUGUAUAAAAAGAAUAUAAAAUGUAGAAUAGAUGGGAGUCGUUUUAAUAUAUAAUUAUUACUAUUUAUGAGGGGAUUUAUAAAUAGUAAUGUAUAUAUUAAGUGUUUCUUAGCGCUAGCUAAUUGAAUAGACGUCAGUGAAAUACCAUUUAAUAUAUAAUUUUUAUACUAAUGAUAAAAUUAAUUAGACAGUUUAUGAUUGGUAGUUUGACUGGGGCGGUCGCCUCCUAAAAGGUAACGGAGGCGUGCAAAGGUGUUUUAUAAUUAAUUUUAAUUAAUUAUAAAGUAUAAUGGCUUAAAAAUGCUUGACUGUAAGAUUAACAAAUCGAACAGAGACGAAAGUCGGUCAUAGAGAUCCGGUAAUUCUGAAUGGAAAGGUUAUCGCUUAACGGAUAAAAGGUACGCCAGGGAUAACAGGCUAAUUACCCCUUAGAGUUCUUAUCGACGGGGUUGUUUGGCACCUCGAUGUCGACUUAUCAUAUCCUGAAGCUGAAAUAGGUUUCAAGGGUUGGGCUGUUCGCCCAUUAAAAUGGUACAUGAGUUGGGUUCAGAACGUCGUGAGACAGUUCGGUUCCUAUCUACCGUUAAAGAAGAAAAUUGAAAAAAGUUUAACUUAUUACGAGAGGAUCAGUUAAUAUGUACCUAUGGUGUAUUGGUUGUUAAACUAAUUAGCAAUGCCAAGUAGCCACGUACAAUGUUAUAACCGCUGAAAAAAUAAAUGUGGGAAAAUAAUUUUGAAAAAUUUUCUUUUAGAAUAGUGAAAGAUUAUUACAUU
rnacentral:rRNA from 1 species